rnacentral:tRNA from 1 species
GUGAGAAUAGCUCAAUUAGGAGAGUGUCAAACUGAAGAUCUGAAGGUUGCAUGUUAGAUCUACGCUUUUUGCA